UGGAAACUAAUAUAAUAUAAAUGCUUUAGAGUUCAAACCCUCUAGCCCAACUUCUCAAAAAGAAAAAAAAAAAAAAAAAAAAAAUCAAAAAUUGAACUUAACCGUAAAAGAAAAAAGAUGCCGAUACUGCUGGACGUAGUCUUAAAUUCAUAUCUACAUUGGGAAAUUGCAGUUUAUACCAGGAAAAGAAAAAGUAAAUCAAGGUUUUUCCUGAGACAACGAGGAGGGGGGAGAUGGUGAUGUAUUCGACAUGUGGCCAUGGGGUUCUUUCUAUUAACAAGUCCUACCUCUCUCUCUCUUCAUAGUCGGAUUAGGUCUGCACUUCUAUUUAUAAUUAGGGAGAGACAUUAAGAGAUCACUCGUCUUUUCAAUUUUCAAGAAAGAAGAUACAAGUGAGCUACUGAGAUGGGAUUUGUGAAGAUCAAGGUGGACAAUCCUAUCGUUGAAAUGGAUGGUCAGUUCAAUUCCAUUGUUCAGUUCUCAAUCAUAUUUUCUAUCUCAUCUUACGUCAUAUGCAUCUGCAAAAUGAUUCUCCUUCAAUUUCUUUUAAUUAAUUACUUUUUUGCAAACCUCAUGGAACUGAUUAAACUGCAAUGAAUGAUUAAUUUUUCAAGACUCGGAAGGCUACCCUCUUUGUUAGCUAUGGGUAUUAAAGAGUUUAGAGUUCCAAAUAAAGGUUCAGGUUGUGUUAUCUUUGAACCAGUUAUUGAUAUUAAGAAUUAAAGCAAUUCAAAUCUCGCAAUAGGGACGUUAGUGUUGAAGUUAGAAUUUUUGAAAAUGCCAUCAAAUCCUUUUAGGUUCUAAAUGAGGACUUAGUUUGAUGGAUUGCAGACCUCCGAAAUACCAUGAAAAAAAAAAGAAACCUCUUUUGACUAAGGCAACUUUUGGAAUAUAGACUUCAUUAAUAGAAUUUAUCUAGAAACACAGGCUUGUUUUGACCUUUGAGAGGAAGCAAAUUUUGAGAGAAUUCAACAAUACGUUUUAAAUUCUAAAAUUUAAAAACUUUUAAAAUGCAUUUAAAGGAUUUUUUUUAGUAAGCCUAUAUUAGGAAUAAAUUGUUUUCAUAGGUAGCAUUGUUAAGGAAAUGUAACCUUAUUGAAACGAUCAAAGAAUAUUAGUGAGUACAAAAUGAUAGAAAAUGAAAU
rnacentral:lncRNA from 1 species